GACGAACGCUGGCGGCGUGCUUAACACAUGCAAGUCGAACAGUGGCGAAAGGGUGAGUAACACGUGAGUAACCUGCCCUCCACUUUGGGAUAACUCCGAGAAAUCGGGGCUACUCCUUGAUAGUGGGGGAUGGGCUCGCGGCCUAUCAGUUUGUGGGGUAGGUAGUGGUCACCAAGGCGUGACGGGUAGCCGGCCUGAGAGGGCUACCGGCCACACUGGGACGGAGACAAGGGCCAGAAUACUACGGGAGGAAGCAGUGGGGAAUAUUGCACAAGGGGCGAAAGCGUUAAGCAGCGACGCCGCGUGGGAGAUGACUGCUUUCGGGUUGUAAACAUCUUUCAGCAAGGAAGCGGGACUUGCAGAAGAAGCGCCGGCUAACUACGUGCCAGCAGCCGCGGUAAUAC
rnacentral:rRNA from 1 species